AUCUAUGCCCAUGCCACUCUGAACAAGCCCAAUACCGUCCGAUCUCAUAAGCUAAGCGGGGUCGGACCUAGUUAGUACUUGGGUGGUAGACCAUCUAGGAAGACCAGGUGCUAUAAGUG
ensembl:rRNA 5S_rRNA 5S ribosomal RNA